AAGCGAGACAGUGAUGUGGAGCGGACCCCUUAAAGAAUGUCGUAGUCCGGAUUGGAGUCUGCAACUCGACUCCAUGAAGUCGGAAUCGCUAGUAAUCGCAGGUCAGAAUACUGCGGUGAAUACGUUCCCGGGCCUUGUACACACCGCCCGUCACACCAUGGGAGUGGGAUGCAAAAGAAGUAGUUAGUCUAACCUUCGGGAGGACGAUUACCACUUUGUGUUUCAUGACUGGGGUGAAGUCGUAACAAGGUAACCCUAAGGGAACCUGGGGUUGGAUCACCUCCUU
rnacentral:rRNA from 1 species